rnacentral:rRNA from 1 species
ACGAAGGGAGCUAGCGUUGUUCGGAAUCACUGGGCGUAAAGCGCACGUAGGCGGGUUUGUCAGUCAGGGGUGAAAUCCCGGAGCUCAACUCCGGAACUGCCCUUGAUACAGCAAGCCUUGAUUCCGGAAGAGGUGGGUGGAAUUCCUAGUGUAGAGGUGAAAUUCGUAGAUAUUAGGAAGAACACCGGUGGCGAAGGCGGCCCACUGGUCCGGCACUGACGCUGAGGUGCGAAAGCGUGGGGAGCAAACAGGA